AGCAUCAGGUGAGAGCAGACACAGCUCCACCUCAGGCAGACCUGCAGUGCCAGCCCCACCAGAGGAGAUGCUGUGCUCACUCCCUACCUCUGGCUGCUCUCCUGAGUGCAGGGCAGCUGCCUGGAGAAACGGGUCUGUGGUUUUCUCUUCUGCUACUGCCAUCCAGGGGAGCAGCCUGCACUGGUCUGCAGCAGCCUUGCCAAGGUGCCACUCUGAUUGCUACAGCACCCGGGCCCACCCCAACCUCUCCACCUGGCAGCCCUCUGCCACCCACAGCAACAUGGCCUGGGCCAUUCCAGACUUGUGCCCUCAGUUCCUUCAGCAGCAGACCCACCUUCGGACACCGUCACAGAUCUAUGGUACAGGAAACAAAUUCAUUCCUGUUUGGUAUUACUGGCCCUGGGAGUGCUUCAGCAGCCACACCUGCUGCAGGAGCACUGCAGAGACUUGUGUAACUUCUGACCAGCUUAAACAGCGGCAGCGCAGACCACAGCCUGCACCCUCACACAGACCCAGAGCUGGCCAGAUGAAGAAGAGAGGCAACCAGGCACAGGAGGGGAGGCUGCUCCCUUUAGCUGAACCAGGUUCUGACUUAACGCUGUUCUGCCAAAGAGCCCUGAGAAGGGGAAGGGCAGCGCUGACCAGAGUCCACCUGAGCCAAUGCUAAUUAGCUGCUGCUUUCAUCAGCCUUCGGCCUCAGAAGUGCAUCCUUUUCCACAAAGUUUGAAAGCACUUUCUAUUAAUUACACAGUAAAAUGCUCCACUUUAGUAAAAUGAUGCAAUUUAAUCCCACGAUUUACACUGUGGACUCUGACAAUUUCUCUCACAACGAGAACUUGCAAAGCAACUCUUUGAUUCUGUCUGAAUUUUGCCUGAAUUCAAAACACAUUCAAAUAGGAGCAGUAAUCAGCACCCAGCUGUUCCUCGCAGCAGCCUCCUUCUCCUCGCAGCACCCCACCGCACAGAGCAGAGCCAGGUGCUCAGCACCGUGCGCACCCAUCACCGUGGCUGCUCCUAGCGGCCCUGGCCGGGCUCAGUGCCGCGCAUCCGUCCGGCUGCAGCACAUGCACGGUGUGGCUGAGGCACCGACAUGCUUCCCGUCCCUUUACCUUCGCUAAACUGCAGCUGCUCCCCUCUCUAUCCAGCACAG